rnacentral:rRNA from 1 species
GAGACUCUGUGCGCGUGCAUAUCAAUAAGCGGAGGAAAAGAAACUAACAAGGAUUCCCCUAGUAACGGCGAGUGAAGCGGGAAGAGCUCAAAUUUGAAAUCUUAAAGGGUUUCCCUUUACGAAUUGUAGUUUAAAGAAGUGUUUUCUGUUGGAGUUUCGGUAGAAGUUCUUUGGAAUAGGACAUCAUAGAGGGUGAGAAUCCCGUAUUUGACCGUUACUUUCCAGCUGUGUGAUACACUUUCAAAGAGUCGGAUUGUUUGGGAAUGCAGUCCAGAAUGGGUGGUAAAUUUCAUCUAAAGCUAAAUAUUGGCGAGAGACCGAUAGCGAACAAGUACCGUGAGGGAAAGAUGAAAAGAACUUUGAAAAGAGAGUUAAACAGUACGUGAAAUUGUCAAAAGGGAAGCGUUUGACACCAGUGUUGUUUAGUUGAAAAUCAAUUCAAUAGUUUUUGAUUCUAAGUAGUAUUGACUUCAUCAGCUUGCUGCUUUCUUCUCAGAAAUUAUUGAAUGCACUUUUCAGUUAACAAGUCAACAUUCAAUUUCUUUUGUUGUAAAAGGGUAAGAGGAAGGUGGCUUGCGCUUCGGCUCAAGUGUUUCAUAGCCUUUUAUCUCUGCAAUCGGAGAGAUUGAGGUCUGCAGCGUAGAUCCUUCGGGGUUAGAUACAUUGGUGCUAAGCUAUAGCCUUGUAUAGACAACUUGUUGACUAUGCUCAGUCAUGUAGCUUACUCGCUGAUGCUAUUUUACCUACGCUUAGGAUGUUGACAGCAGUAUAGACUGU